rnacentral:rRNA from 1 species
UGGGGAAUCUUGCGCAAUGGGCGAAAGCCUGACGCAGCAACGCCGCGUGCGGGAAGAUGGCUUUCGGGCUGUAAACCGCUUUCAGCAGGAACGAAAAUGACGGUACCUGCAGAAGAAGGAGCGGCCAACUACGUG